AAAAAUCUUCGGGACGGGGUGAAAUUCCCCACUGGCAGUGAAAGCCUGCGAGUCCGCUACAGAACUUUAACGGACAGAACUGGUGAAAUUCCAGAGCCAAUAGUUAGAGUCUAGAGGGGAGAAGAUCGUA
rnacentral:ncRNA from 2 species